GGUUUGCCUACUUCCUCCAUGAUCCAUCGCCACAGCCGCAGGCUCUGUCCAUAACCAAAAUCAAUGCAAAACGAGCUUCGGUAGGGUUUGCAGAGGACUCGAAGAAAUCAAACUGAUGGGACGCCACGGCGCUAUAGAGGCGGCGAAGACGGUCAUCGAGGUGGCCGACGUGGCCUGGAAAGCCAUGGAAUUUACCCAUCACCAUCAACUCCACAACCACAACCACGAAAAUCACGAAAAGGACACCAAGUGUGCGACGAUAGACGAAGAAUUGGAGUCCUUAAGAUCCGAAAAUCAGCGUCUAAGGAACCAGCUGGAGCAGAAUUUGAAACUUCUCCAAAAUUUAUCCGAAUCGCCUUGCUUGUUAAAUGAUUGCCCCCCUGAUCUAUACAGCCGCCUAGUUGCUACUGUGGAUUCUGAAAACUUCUUGGUUCGACUUAAAUCCCUUCAGCAGGCUUCAGCCAACAAAACUAUCAUUGAAUUCCCCUUCAAGGAAGCUACAGGGGAUGAUAUUCAUUCUGCUGAAAUUCUGAUUAAUGUCUCUCAUGAAGAACCUAGUUGGUGGGUCUGGGUCACAGAAGAAAUGGUUCCCAACCAGGUUGAAGAACAGAGUGGAAUUGAUGAUGAAAAUUAUGUAGUUGUUACUGAGGAACAUGUGGUGGAUGGUGUUGCCAACUUUAUGGCUAAAUGCAUUUUGUCAAAUCCAAAGGCUAAGAGUAUGACACCGGAGGAGCUGCAAAAGACUGUGGCAAAAGCAUUAGGUGGUGUGAGCAAAUUUGAGAAGAUAUUAGAUAUUUGGCAUGCAGGACAGCUGUUUUAUACCUUGGCUACCUGGGGACUUGCCCUGUGGGGGUUGUAUCGGAGUCGAGCUGUACUAAAACUUGCUGCAAAGGGCGUUCACACCACUAGCAAAGUGGUUUUAAGGGCACUUUGAAGAAUUUACAUAGCCACUCUAUUGCAAUGAGCAAAAUAAAUUAUAAAUUUGUAAUACUACAUUAAUUAUGUGGGACCAUCUAGUGUCAUCCUGUGUGCAAAUUCUAUUUAAUUCCUCUUUUCUAUCAAUGUAAAUUCUUGUAAAUAUCAUUGGUUUCCACUGCU
rnacentral:misc_RNA from 1 species